UGUAUGGUUAAGUGACUAAGCGUACACGGUGGAUGCCUGGGCAGUCAGAGGCGAUGAAGGACGUACUAACUUGCGAUAAGCGCAGAUAAGGCAGUAAGAGCCGUUUGAGUCUGCGAUUUCCGAAUGGGGAAACCCAACUGCAUAAGCAGUUACUGUUAACUGAAUACAUAGGUUAACAGAGCAAACCGGGGGAACUGAAACAUCUAAGUACCCCGAGGAGAAGAAAUCAACCGAGAUUCCGGUAGUAGCGGCGAGCGAACCUGGAUUAGCCCUUAAGCACUCGGUGAAGUAGGUGAACAAGCUGGAAAGCUUGGCGAUACAGGGUGAUAGCCCCGUAACCGACGCUUCAUCGAGCGUGAAAUCGAGUAGGGCGGGACACGUGAUAUCCUGUCUGAAUAUGGGGGGACCAUCCUCCAAGGCUAAAUACUCCUGACUGACCGAUAGUGAACCAGUACCGUGAGGGAAAGGCGAAAAGAACCCCUGUGAGGGGAGUGAAAUAGAACCUGAAACCGUGUACGUACAAGCAGUAGGAGCACCUUCGUGGUGUGACUGCGUACCUUUUGUAUAAUGGGUCAGCGACUUAUAUUCAGUGGCAAGGUUAACCGUAUAGGGGAGCCGUAGCGAAAGCGAGUCUUAACUGGGCGCUCAGUCUCUGGAUAUAGACCCGAAACCGGGUGAUCUAGCCAUGGGCAGGUUGAAGGUUGAGUAACAUCAACUGGAGGACCGAACCGACUAAUGUUGAAAAAUUAGCGGAUGACUUGUGGCUAGGGGUGAAAGGCCAAUCAAACUCGGAGAUAGCUGGUUCUCCCCGAAAGCUAUUUAGGUAGCGCCUCGGACGAAUACUACUGGGGGUAGAGCAC
rnacentral:rRNA from 1 species